rnacentral:rRNA from 1 species
AGAGUUUGAUCAUGGCUCAGGAUUAACGCUGGCGGUAUGCCUAACACAUGCAAGUCGAACGGAAUACUAAUUAAGAGAAUCUCACACUAGUGAGAGGUUCUCACGAGUAGUAUUUAGUGGCGGACGGGUGAGUAACACGUUGGAACCUGCCCCGAAGUGGGGAAUAACUGCUCGAAAGAGUAGCUAAUACCCCAUAGUAUCCGGUUUACCCGGAUUAAAGAUUUAUCGCUUUGGGAGGGGCCUGCGUCUGAUUAGCUAGUUGGUGAGGUAAAAGCUCACCAAGGCGACGAUCAGUAGCUGGUUCGAGAGGAUGACCAGCCACACUGGGACUGAGACACGGCCCAGACUCCUACGGGAGGCAGCAGUGAGGAAUCUUCCACAAUGGGCGCAAGCCUGAUGGAGCAAUACCGCGUGCAGGAAGACGCUUUUCGGAGUGUAAACUGCUUUUGUCGUCGAAGAUUAUGACUGUAGACGAAGAAUAAGGACCGGCUAACUACGUG